GCAGGUGGAUCGCUGUUUUAGGUUUACACCUGUCCUGCUGCUCCUGGCUGAUACCUACCAGACAGAACCCAGGAAAGUGGGUCCGCAGCACUGACAUCACCAGUACCUCAGACACACACUGACAUGCACACUGAGAGCCCUAUGUGAGGGUGGGGUCACCCCUGUCAGACCACAGAGGCCUGUGUGAGGCUGGGGUCACCCCUGUCAGACCACAGAGGCCUGAGUGAGGCUGGGGUCACCCCUGUCAGACCACAGAGGCCUGAGUGAGGCUGGGGUCACCCCUGUCAGACCACAGAGGCCUGAGUGAGGCUGGGGUCACCCCUGUCAGACCACAGAGGCCUGAGUGAGGCUGG
ensembl:lncRNA